rnacentral:rRNA from 1 species
GUGAAACCGCGAAAGGCUCAUUAAAUCAGUUAUGGUUCCUUAGAUGGUACGCACAGUUACUUGGAUAACUGUGGUAAUUCUAGAGCUAAUACAUGCAAAUAGAGUCCCGACCAUUCUUUGGAAGGGAUGCUUUUAUUAGAUCAAAACCAAUCGGGCUUCACGGCCUGUUGUUCUUGGUGACUCUGAAUAACUUUGGGCUGAUCGCACGGUCACGUACCGGCGACGCAUCUUUCAAAUGUCUGCCUUAUCAACUGUCGAUGGUAGGUUCUGCGCCUACCAUGGUUGUAACGGGUAACGGGGAAUCAGGGUUCGAUUCCGGAGAGGGAGCCUGAGAGACAGCUACCACAUCCAAGGAAGGCAGCAGGCGCGCAAAUUACCCACUCCCGGCACGGGGAGGUAGUGACGAAAAAUAACGAUGCAGAACUCUUUCCGAGGCUCUGCAAUCGGAAUGAGUACACUCUAAAUCAUUU